UUCAUAACUGAAAAAGGUUUUUGAGCCGUAAAUCAAAAUAAUAUUUGCCUUACGGCCCCUAAACCUUAUUUCUGAAAUGAAU
rnacentral:pre_miRNA from 1 species